AACACCCUUCCCGACUGGCGACUCCAUACAUGGAGGGACCUGGGCGGAUCUGGAGAGAAGACCGGCCCUGGAUUGCACCCUCCUUAAAACUGGGGUAGCUUGUGAAGAAUCGUGACCGAAAGUGGAGUCUACAACCCUCGGAUCAGGCCACUGUGGCUCCAUCAUAAAAUCGGCCACGUCUCGACUGAGAGGACAACAUCGGAUUGUAUUGGACAUUUGGUAUUGGACACCCAGCCGCUUUGGGAAGACUUCUUUGGCUCUCAGUUUGCCUGUAGGGCUGAGGCCUCCUGGGACUUCCUCCACCCAUGUUAGCAUGUCUACUGUCCUUGUUCAGCUCCUGUGUAUGCAGUCAUGUUGGUGACACUUGAUGGGUGUCGCUUCUGAGACUCGAAGUGCCUGGCCAACCAUGAAUUAAAGCUGGCUAUCAACAACAGAAACUAUGGCAAGUCUACAAGCUCGAGGGAGCUGGGCAACUUACUACUGAAUGAAAACUGAGUAAAGACAGAAAUUAAGAAGGGAAACUUUUUAGAAUGGAAUGAAAAUGAAAACAUAACAUACCCAAACCUGUGGGACCCAAUAAAGGCAGUUCUAA